UCAAUGGCGAUGACGGGGAUCAGUAAAACCGCCCUUCAGGUACAGAGAGCGAAAUUCAGCGGCUGAGAGAUUUCGCCCGUGAACCGGUUUGAACCCACCCCCGAGCGGCCAGGGAUGACCUGGACAGGUUUCUUUCACCUGUUAUCAAAGAAAGAGAGCCGGACGGUUUGGCGGCUGAACACGGGAGCGGAACGCCUCGUUCUUCCCCUGGUUUGGGACGCCUGAAUACCGUCAAAUAAGGUGGUACCGCGGAAGAGAGAUACCCUUUCGUCCUUAUG
rnacentral:ncRNA from 1 species